UUACGGCCAUAUCACGUUAAAACACCUAUUCUCGUACGAUUACCGAAGUUAAACAACGUCGAGCUUGGUCAGUACCUAGAUGGGUGAGCGAGUGGGAAUA